UACGUAGGGGGCGAGCGUUGUCCGAAGUUACUGGGCGUGAAGCGCGCGUAGGCGGGGGAUUAAGUGAGAGGUGAAAGGCUGGGGCUCAACCUCAUGCAGUGCCUCUCAUACUGGUUCUCUUGAGGGCGGUAGGGAGAAGUGGAAUGGCUGGUGUAGCGGUGAAAUGCGUAGAUAUCAGUCGGAACACCGGUGGCGAAGGCGGCUUCUUGGGCCGUUCCUGACGCUGAGGCGCGAAAGCUGGGGGAGCGAACGGG
rnacentral:rRNA from 1 species